GCCGGGGUGUUGGAAUUGGCAGACAGCACAGACUUAAAAUCUGUUGUUCCGUAAGGGACGUGCGGGUUCGAGUCCCGCCCCCGGCA
rnacentral:tRNA from 1 species